AACCUAUGUCUAAAGGGCAUAGAGAUCAGGUGUAUGUGCAUACAUGGAUAUGUGCUUCUAUUUUCUUAGCUCAAUAAAAUGGAAAAAAAGAGCAACAACCGUGGGAGAUUAUGGCAAUAGAAUUACCGCAUGUAACUUAUGAAAAAUUCUCGGGCAGUGGCACCCUGGAAAAGAAAGGUAGGUACUCCAUGACUCUGAAACCUGACCAUAUGAGGACAUAAUAAUGUUUGGGGAGGGAUGGGUAGCCAAAGUCUAGCACAUCUAUCCAUGCUUGCCCUCUGAGUCCUGGAGGCAAGGACCGAGGGCAGGGCCUUGUCCCUGUGAAACUCCAGGGGACACCCCUCACAUAACAGGGCAGGGAAAUAUUUUGAGACUCCCCUGAAAAUCUCUAUACUGGAACUCUAAAGCUAUAAGCUCAAUUUUCUCUUUUAGCGGGGUAUAUAUGUUUCUUUGUCCCCAAAUAUCAGUUCCUUAUUAUUUAAAAAUUUUUUACUUGCCACGUUAUCUGUUAAUUAAAAAAAAAUUAAUACAUUCUGUAGUUGAGCAAACAUUAUCUUUUAAAAUGAAAAUGUUCCUGGAGGGCAGGUAACGUGGUUAUAGUCUUAGGGAACAUAAAUCUUGUUUGAGGAAAUAGAAAGUAGAUGGCAGUAUGGGAAGCAUGUUGGUAAAUGGAAAGGUAAUUCUAGAACAUAAGACUCGGCAAGGGUGGGCAGGUAAUGUUGGAAACAUUAAAGUCCUGAUUAGCAGAGGUAUUUGGGGAAACUUAUAAAACAUUUGCAUUUAUGGAGAGGUCUGCUUCUUUGUUUUUUACCUUGGAUCUUACCUGGAUAACUAUAUAUCCCAGGUUGCAAAUGAUAGUCUCACUUUACACUAGUUUCUGGGAAUGAUUAUUUUACUUUCAAAAUUGUCCCAGAAUGCAUGAUAAAUUUUAUGGAAAAAUCUCUUUUUGCCCAACUUUUCUUCCUUUAGGAAGGAGGGAAGAGUCUCUGACUUGAGAGAUUCAAGGUAAGUCUGUGAUUCCUUUCUCUAAAGACAACUAUCUGUUUCACUCCUCUGUCUUGGAAAGCCCAGAGGUGGUGAUAUUUGUCUGUGUAUGGUGACAGUAUGAAUAAUCACUCCUACACAUGUAUAUGUGUUGGAGGACAUAGAGCCAAGACAAAGUGUCUUAGAUUGUAUUUCUCCCAAACAGACCCUGAAUGCAAGUUUAUCUGGGAAGUGAUCUCCAGAAACUAAUAAGGAAGUGGAAAAUGGUGAGUUAGGAUAAGGAUGGAAGCGAGUAGCCAUUUCUUAUUGAGCCAGAUACCUCUGUGAGAAUAGUGGCUCAAUCUUGCUAGGGAUUUCUGGUAGGAUGUAUAUCAUCUCAAAUAAGUUGUGAGGGAACUAGGAUAUUUAUCUACCAACUUCUGACAACUCAUUAGCUGAGGACUGUCCCCAGGAGACACAAACUGCCCAGAAAUCCUGACCUAUCAGCAAAUGAGCAGAAAAAACAUCCAUAGCCUGAAACCCUCAAGCAAAGAUUCACAGGUCCUUAAGAUGGUAGCCAAUGGUUCUGCACAAAUGUGAUUACCAAAAGGCUGUAGAAGAGACAUUGAUGGUGUCUGGGGCAUAGGCACAGGGAAACAAAUGACAUAGGAAAUAUGAUUUUGGAGUAUUAGGAAGAUCAAUCAACAUUGAAUGAUAGCUCCUAUGCAAACUGUUUAUCUUUCACUAAUGUUGAAAACAAUACUUGAUUAUGAUCUGUUAGUUGCAAGUUGAUUGAUGAGUGAAUUUAUUAAUCAGUAUAAUGAAACUUUUGGGUCUUUGGCAUCUGACAUGAUUGGAUCCAGUGUUUCCGAUUAUGCCGACAUAAUUCUCUUUUGGACUGUUUUCCUAUGUUUUGACUUCAUACUUAAGUAGGUCAUCUCUAUUGGUGGCAAAGUUGAAUACCAAUUAGAUUCAACCUGUUCAAGCCCAGAAUAAAUAAAGCACUUUAUUUUCCAAAAGUUCCAGAAUAAGUCUAAGGAAGCUCUCACUGUACUAAAUUAUGCCACUUGUACAUCCCUCAGCCAGUUAAUGAUGCCAGAGAAAGAGAAUUUGAGGAUUGGCUGGACUGAGUUCAUAUACCCAUCCCUAGAACUAAGGAAACUGGGAAAACCCUGCCUGAAUCACAUAGCCAAAGGUAUGGGCAGUGUAGUUCCUUAGAAGAAAAUCAGGUUGCUGCUAUUAGAAAGGAGAAUGGAUAGCAGACAUUAAACACCCACACACAUGCCCUGCAGGAAUAUACCCACAUACAUUGCCAUUUUAUGCAUUAGGUUUGAUCCCUGAAAAACCUUUGUUUUAUAAUAAAAAGGAUUUAAUACCUUGCUUUUUUUUUUCUAGCCAGGUGAAAAAUUUCUGGCUUUGCAAUAGCUGUUUUGUAAUAUUGAGCACUUUGCUAAACAGAAUGUUAAAACAGGAACGUUUCCUCUCUUGGCAGUUUCAACUGAGGCCAAAGGACCUUAAUAGUCUAUUGGGAGGUUCCAGACCAUCUGAAUAGGAUUUACAAAUGAGGUUUCCCCAGAUUAAUUCCCUAAUCUUUGGCCCAGCAAAACCAUAUGGACCCUGUAAGAGUUCAUCAAGGAGAACUUCUUCACAGACAUUAGGAUCCUAGUUUUCUCCUUCUCCUCAUGGAGGAGAGCAAGUUAUACUUUUCACACAAAUGUUAUGAGGCAGGCUCCCAGGGAAGCCUUGCAGAGUCCAGUACCUGCUCCUUGGGUUGGGUUUCCCGACUUAAGCCUAGAAAGGAAAGUGAGACUAGAGCUGCCUUAGAUGACAGUGAGGAGACAGACUUAGAGGGAAGGAAACUCCCCUGGUUGCUCCCUCAGUGUGGUGGAGUGGUUAAGCCAGUAGAUUCCCAAGCCCUUCUGCUUCAGUUCAAAUCUUACCUCUACCACUUAUUAACUGAGUGUUUGUGUAACUAAUUUUUCUAUGGUUCUGUAAAAAUAACUCAAAGAAGUGUGGUGAGAAUAAGAUACACUGAAAUAUGUUGGGAGUUCCCUUCAUGGCUCAGCGGUUAAUGAAUCCGACUAGGAUCCAUGAGGAUGCGGGUUCAAUCCCUGGCCUGGCUCAGUGGGUUGGGGAUCUGGUGUUGCUGUGAGCUAUGGUGUAUGUCACAGACAUGGCUCGGAUCCCGUGUUGCUGUGGCUGUGGUGUAGGCCGGCAGCAGCAGCUUCGAUUCAACCCCUAGUCUGGGAACUUCCAUAUGCUGCAGGUGCGGUCCUAAAAAGCAAAAAAAAAAAAAAAAAAAAAAAAGAAAGAAAGAAAGAAGAAAGAAAUAUGUUAAUUAUCUGGAAAGAAAACAGGAAUAACAUCAAUAGAAGGGCAAGUGAUAGAGCAGGAAGAGUCUGUAUGGGACAUUUGGAAGCAGGAACUGAGAAGGUGUCAUACACAGUCAACUGGAGGAGAUAUCAUGCCACAUGCAGUCUUUAGCAGGAUCUCUGAUAAUGGCAGGUAUCUUCAAAGAACCCCCAAAGACACCCUGAAAAUGACUAAAUUUUAAAGAUCUACCCAUGGUCAUGGACAGCUAAGAGAGAACUACAUAAUACCACUUGCCCUUCUUUUUUUCUCCAACCUCCUCUCCUCCGUACUCCAUAAGAAGAGCAACUUUGAGUUGGGAGAGGAAUGCAAAAGCCAGAAGAAUAAUAACACAAACCUGAGCAAAGCUGAUCCCUUCUCACACCUUAUUAUGACUUAGACAAGAGAGCAAAGCUUUGGAAUUGCUAUUAACUGUAUUAUGCUCCCUCCCACUGCCACAGAUUCACCCAUUGGAGGACUAACCUCCAAUGCGACAAUGUUACUUAGUUGAAAACAGGGCUUUUAGAAGGUAAUUAGGGUUCAAAGAGGCCAUAAGUGUGGGGCCUAAUUCAAGAGGAUUGGUGAUUUUAUCAGAAGAGAGACUGAGAGAGUGAUGGCUCUCUCUUUCUUUCUAUUUGCCAUAUAUAGCCACAUCAAGCCAGGAGGAGAGCCCCACCCAGGAACUAAAUUGCCUGGCACCCUGAUCCUAGGCUUCCCAGCCUCCAGAGCUGUGAGAAAUAUAUUUCCAUUGUGUAAGACACCCAGUCUAUGGCAUUUUAUUAUGGUAGUCCAACCUAAUACAAAUAUUAAGCUUUAUAAUGGCUGAAAAAUGAGACUAUUCAUUCACACUAUUCAUUAUUACCUAAUAGUAGCUGGAAAAACAAUACUUUCAGCCUUAGAUUUCAUUGCAGAACAGGGAAGAGAUAUUCGAUAGAAUAGACUUAAAAGGGCAGUGGUGAGAAGGGCUGGAUAUAACUUUCAUGAGUCUAGCUUUUCAAUAAUUUGGUUUCAUACUUCUUUGGACUAUGCCUCAUUUCUCCAGACUUAUAAAGGAGUUGGAUUCAAUGGGAUUCAAGUCCCCGUUGUAGCUCAGAUAUUCUGUAUUACAUUCAAUGAUACAUUUCCAUUUCCGUGAAAGAGCUUCAGAUAUUUUCAUGAAAGCAGCUUCUGAAAAGUAAAUCUAUUAGAACAUUUCAAGAGGAAAGUGGAGAGAAAAGGAGUCCCGAGGAGGACCUUUUAGAGAACUAGAAGUCUUAGGGUUUUUAACCACAAACCACACUUUUCUUAGGCUCAAACCUCCAAGUCACCAGUAUUAUGCAUUUCAUUUAAAAAAGGGCCUCACCAGACUAAAAAUCAUUUAGUGAAAUUCCAGUGGUUCCUGACUAACAAGGAGGCACCAAUGUUCUCAAAAUUUUUUCUUGAGAGCCUAAAAUUAAUUGUAGUGUAUGUAAAUUAAAUUAUAAAGAGCACACACAGAGACACAUACACACUCACGCAAGCAGAGUAUCUCAACCAUGAUGAAUUUAGAACUACUGAACUUCUGGCUAAUGAAACAAACAAACAAAAAACAAUCUGAUUUCAAGUAGGAUAUAGUUAACCAACCAAGUUUUAAAAAGUUGCUGUGGUAUUCUGAAAGAUGUGCAAAGCAUUUCGUAUUCAUCUCAGGCAACGUAUCUUAGUAGCUUUUCUUUAAAGGAAAUUAUUUCUUUCCCACGCAAUAUGUCCCUUUGCUUGCAGAAAUUGUAAUUCCAGUUUUAAAGGUCUGCCAUGCACUGAUCUGAGGUUUAAAGACAUUCCCUCCCAAAGUGUCAAAGUCUUAGGUUUCUGAGAAGCAGAAGCCAAUGAAAAUGUACACUGUAAAUUCUCAGUUAAAAAGCACUUGCCUGCAUGAGGGUAUUUUCACAUUAAAUGUUGCCAGCGAUAUGUAAUUUUCAGGCUGCAUGUAUAAAGAUUCUACCUUGUAGACCUGCCCAAACUGAGAGCCAGGGUUAUUAAAAAGUCUUUGUACUCUUUUCAUAUAAAUCUAGUGCUUCUUAUACAAACAUUUUUCUCAUGUCAGAGUGAUUCAUAAAGGCUUGUAAUCCCACGGGUGUAAUAGGACACCUCUCAAUUACACAUCCCAGGGAUGAGUAAUUUCACAAGCUGAGGGAAGAAGAUAAAUGCAUUAAAAUGUUUUUGCAAAACAAAUUUCAGAGAGAGAAAGGGAUGAAAAAGGAAGUGAAUGUAGAAAUUGAAGAUUUACUUCAUUGUGCAGAAAAGAAUAUUAGAUCUGCCUUGGCAGAACUGCUUAAUUCAUAAUUCUGCACAAACAACUCCAGUAACAGCACUGCCAAAAGCCUUCCUAAUAUGCAUGUACCUACAAAUGCUCAGCUUUGUCUCUGGUAACUGCAAAGUAUGAGAACUGUAUAAUAAUCACAUUUCAUAGUGAGUCAUGGGUCAGAGAAUCUGUGAGGAAUUAUCUCAUUAUAUUUUUUCAUUCAGAAUCAGUUCUAUUCAGAAGCAUUGUGGUUUGUCACUUCUGGACUUUUUGGUCUUAUCAUCAGUAGCUAUAUGCUGAGUCCCUAAUGUGUGGGAAGGUGUAAACUGGGUUAUGACACUCAUAAAAACCAGGGCUUAUAUAGGAAAAGGCAAAUAACCAUAUAAACCUGUAUCAUUUGUCUUAGGUGAAAAAAAUCCUAAAGAUGUGCAGAAACAGAUACAAUCAGAUUGUUGGAAUCACUAAAGAAGGCUUCAUGGAUGAGUGGAAUAAUUGAACUCUAAAAGAAGGGUAGUCUUUAGAUGCACAGAUCUGUAGAGAGAAUGUCCUCCAGAAUUAUCUCUUGUUAGAGAAAUGGAACUAUAUUCCUAGAUGUUGGAAUAUUUAAAGCAUGCUAGCAGAAAAUUUAUAUUAGAUUUAACAACAUGAAAUUGUUGUUUUUCUAGGUAAGAAAUGAUAAGAGUACCCAGUCUGGGGGAGCCAGAUUCUGAAGGAGUCAGGAAUGUCAUGGCAAGUUGCUCAUGUGAUGCAUUGCCUUUAAACCUCAUCAACAACAUAGCAUCUGAAAUCUAAAGAAUUAUGAAACUUAGAAUUUGCUAGGGAAGGAAUCUUAGGAAAACUUAGUUUGACUCGUAACCCCUGAUUGAUUGUUCAUUGUCUUGCUUUUAUUAUCUAGUUGAUAAUGAAUGUACACCUAAUUCAGCUAAUUCUCUUUUGAGUCAGCUCUAAUGGUUUGUUUGUUUCUUUAUUCAUUUGUUUGUUUGUUUAUUUAAUCUUGAACCAAAGACAAGUGCUACAGGCAAGGUUAAAACUUCAGGUCAUCCCUCCAAACAUUUGAAGACACCUGAUUAAAUAGUCUCUUCCUCCCUCCCUUCCUUCCUUAUUUCCUCCCUCCCUCCCUUUCUUUUCUUUCUAGUCAUACACGAGAUAUAGAAGUUUUUGGGCCACAG
rnacentral:lncRNA from 1 species